rnacentral:rRNA from 1 species
UACGGGGGGGGCAAGUGUUAUUCGGUCAAACUGGGCGUAAAGCGUCUUUAGGUGGUUUUUUGUGAGUUAUACACGAAAGUACAGCGGGUAACCUUGUAGUGUUGUAUAAAACCAAUUUUCUUGAGUUUUUGGGGAGUAUGUAUUAUUUCUUCAGUAAGAUUAAAAAUUAUGGAUAGAAGAAGGAGUUUCAGGGGUGAAGACAAGCAUACUAUUGAAAACUGACACUAAAAGACUAAAGCAUAGGUAGCGAUCGGG